UAAUAAACCUGACUACAGCGACAUCCUUUUUGGCCAGGCAAUUUUGAUAACUUUGAUCUCAUUUUACCAAAAAGAUACAGCGAAAGGCAGGACUGACU
rnacentral:sRNA from 1 species